rnacentral:lncRNA from 1 species
CUAAGGUUUAACUGUCAACCUUGAUAUGGUCAUUCAUAUUGUAUUUUAAUUUUCAAAAUCCAUCACAUCGAUUACUCUGACCAAAGUUUUAUUGAAUUGAAAUACACUGAUACAUUAACUCCUACUUAUUCGAAGGAGUCAAUUCUAUCUUGACUCACACACCGACUUCACAAAUACUUGACUAUGUCCAGAAAUCUUUCAUCACUGAAUUAAAAAUUCAGAUAGUCCGGCACCA